rnacentral:rRNA from 1 species
CCGCCAGAGAUACAAGUGAAAAACUUGAAACUCAAAGGACUUGACGGUGUCCCAUAUCGACCUAGAGGAGCCUGUCCUAUAAUCGAUACUCCACGUUCUACCUAACCCUAACUAGCACAUCAUCAGCCUAUAUACCGCCGUCGACAGCCUACCCUAUGAAGGUCUAACAGUAGACACAAUAACCCAACCGCUAGCACGUCAGGUCAAGGUGUAGCAAAUGCUAGGGAAGAGAUUGGCUACAUUUUUUAUAAUAAAAAACACGAAAAGUACUAUGAAACCGUACAUGAAGGUGAAUUUAGUAGUAAAAUAGAUAAGAGUGUCUAUUUUAACAACGCUCUGGGACGCGUACACACCG